GUACAAGUCGUAACAAGGUAUCCGUAGGUGAACCUGCGGAUGGAUCAUUACCAAAGGAAGUUUUGUGAAGUUUUGUGAACAGUUUUGUAUUUUGAGAAGUCAGAGGGGAGUUUCCUUCAAAAUUCUUCGCUGGCUGACUACUUAAAAAAUGUCUUCUUGGAUACUAAACUGAAGUCUACUCCAUUAGUUUCUGAACUAAAACAACUUUUAGCAACGGAUCUCUUGGCUCUCGC
rnacentral:misc_RNA from 1 species